UAAAUGUAAUUAAUAAAAUUCUAGACAAUUAAUAGUUAUGGUCUUUAAAAUUAAAGAUUUUGGCGGUAUUUUAGUCUAUUCAGAGGAACCUGUUCUAUAAUUGAUAUUCCACGUUUUAUUUGUCUUAUAUUAUUAAUUUACAUAUCGUCGUAGUUUGAAUAUUUUAAAAGAAAAAUAAUAUUCAAGAUUUAAUAUUAUAAAAUAAAUCAGAUCAAGGUGUAGUUUAUAUAUAAGAAGAAAUGGGUUACAAUAAUUUAAAUUAGACGAAUAAUUUUUUGAAAUUAAAAAUUUGAAGGAGGAUUUGAAGGUAAUUUUAAAAAAAUUUUUAAAAUGAUUUUAGCUCUAAAAUAUGU
rnacentral:rRNA from 1 species